rnacentral:lncRNA from 1 species
GCUUGUUGAGGGUAGUUGACAGUGGGGGGCUGGGGUGGGUGGAAAUAGAUUAUUCAAAUCACAAAGAAGUAGGUGUGCCCUAAGUGACUGUUCCAUUACGGCGAGGAAGAAAUGUUUGCCUUCCUAAGCAUUCAUCCAACUCGCUGCUGCCGAUUGUGUGGGGCCGGAGGAGAGUGCCUGCUCACGAUCGGAAAGCAGCUCCUCUCCGUGUCCUGUGCUGGUGACUUCAGAGAGUGCAUUGUCGUGUAUGGACACCACACCGACCACUCUGUAACCCUCACCCUUCGCCCAGGCCCCUCCCUGCCUGCUCUGGCUGUGCACAGCUACCCCAGAUCCUCGCCCUGCUGUUUGUGGCCCCCACACUUUGAUUUCCCCUCGUGUCUUCACUUUCCACACUUGUACAUCCCGAAAGUUUCCAAGUCCUAUGGAUUCUGCUUCUGUUAUUUCUAAUUCAAAGGUUCUGGGCUGUGCCUUCCAACUGGAUAAAGCUGACCCUGGAAUUGGCACCUGGUGGGUGAGCAAUCAGGGUCCGUUGAAUGAAAAAUGGCCUCCACCUUAAUCAAGGUUUCAGCUCCAAAAAUAAUCCUACGUGUAUCUCUGCCCACUACUGCAUUAUCCUCCAUGACAGUCGGCUUGGAUCACAUUAUUUUAAUGUUCAGCACCUAGCUUUUUCCUGAAUCCAAUGUAAAGUACUCUUUUCUUUUUCUUUUGGCACCAGGGAUCGAACUCAGGACCUUGCGCUUGUGAGGCAGACUCAGUGCCACUGAGCUAAAUCCCUGAUCCCCAAACUACUCUUUUUAAAUACACCCCAACUUAUUUUUCCUCAGUACUCCUUCACAAACUCCUAAAUACCCUAUGCUCAACACAAAACAUACAGUUCCCAAAGGAAGAUCUUCCAGCCUACACUUACCCAACUUUGUGAUGGGAAGAAAGCCACAGGGUAGGCUGGGAAGCAGGCUCUGAAGUUUGAAUUCAGUCUGUUCUGGGCUGGUGAUAGGUGGUGAUGCUUCUUCCCAGUCUGGACAGCAGCAGUGAGUCAUUUCAGCAGGAGAAACGCAGAAACUGUAGGUGGCACCGUGCGGGCAGUGUGUUUUGGAUAUUGUCAUUCAGAAAGUUAACUGAGAUAGUCAAUGCUUAAUUAUAAAAUGGGCUUUGAGUUGGGUGGUGCUGCUUAACUGUAUGUAAGGAAGGCAGGCCAGGCACAGCUGUGAUGUCCAGUAGGUGAAGAAUAGUAAAUACAUUUUUGAUUUUUUCUAUUUAUGAUGGGUUUUAGCCUCAGUAGAAAUGCAGCAGCACCUGUAUUAUUUAUUCAUUUUGGUCUCUGCCUCAUAGCUUAGUUUAUCUUCAUUUCUUCAACCGUAAUGCUUACUCUUGUUUAUUCAGCAGUAUUGGGGAUUGCACUUGGGGUCUUUGCACUGAGCUACACACCCCGUCUUUUCCCUUCUUUCCUGAGUCAAGGUGUCGCUAAACUGCAGAUUUUCCUGGGUUGAUCUCCUGAUUGUGAUUGUCCUGCCUCAGCCUCCUAGAGUGUAUCCGGCUUCACUCAUCUUUUAAAAGUGAAUUUUUACUGGGCUUUUAAGGCACAUUUCAAAUGCUGCCCCGCCCAUGGAGCUACAGUAUUUGGGUUCUGUAUGUCUUUUUCAGCUAAGCUGGAUGUUCUUCCCUUUUCAGGGAAUUUAUGGGAUUCCUACCAGCAGGUACCUGGUCGGGAGAUGGGAGCUAAACUUCCUUUUUUUGUGCCUGGACCCUCAAUGUCUUACACAUAGUAGGCACAUAGAGUACUUUCAUUAAAUUACAUUCAUGUUUGUUUUUUCCUCAGGGCUGCCGGGAUGUUUCUUUCUCUUUUGAGUCCAGGUUGAUGCUCCUCACUGUGGGGCGUGUGUCUGUGUGAGUAGCCCGCUUAGCUCCUUCAGUGAGGAGACAUACGUUGUUUAGUCCUUAUUUUAAACUACUUUUCAGAAUGGGAGAACAACGCCUUCAUUUUGGAUCCAUGUGAUGCACUUUGAAUUUGCUCAGCUUUAGUUUGUGCUGCCCCUCAUUCUGUGUGGAAAUUAGUUCCACCGAAGUGCCACUGAACUCAGAGCUGCCUGCAACUUGAGAUGCAAACUCCAACACUGUGGGCCACUUUUGAGAAGCAUGUGGUCAUUCGGGAAACAAAGACACUCCUGUUUCCUCUUCUCAAUAACAAUUAAGACAUCAGAUUAAUAGAAUCUUUAAAUUCUUGAAUGAUGCUUGCAGAACAGUUUGUGUUUGCUUUAACACAAAGGAAUACUUUCUGAAACCUAAAGGUCACCCAAGAAAUAAGAGAGAGACAAUUUAGGAAUGGUGCAUGCUGGUAGAGUUUUGCAGAAUGGCAUGUGUUCUUUACAGUGUGUUUCUGGCUUUGGAGCCACUUGGCAUGGGAGUACACUGUGAUUUACUGCAGACAGGCAUUCCUGGGCAAGGAGUCCCCUGCAUGGAAGGGACAUGCCAUCAGGAGAAGGAGAGGACACUGGGGGUGGGAUGGGGGAAGAAGACUUCUCAGUUCCCACUCUAGCAUUUACUUAAUGAGUGUAAUGUUCUUGCUAAUGGGAUUUAACCACAAUACCUGUCUCUAACCUUGUCACCGAAAAGGUAGUCUACAUGCCCCUCUUUUCAAUGCUGUCUGGGUGGAAACUGUGCCCAAGUCUGUUCUCCCAAUUUUCUAAGUGGUAAUCCUAGAAUUAUCUUGGCUCAGAAAUAAAUGAAGAACUCAUGUACAGGAGUCAGAUUUCCCUACAGGGGUUGUAACUGAAACAAGGAUUAAGUACCAGUGUACAAAACCUUUCAAGCAAUGGACAGCAUGUCAAUUGCGGAACACUCUAUCGUAGAAGGGCCCUUAGCGCUUCUCUUUUAUAAAGCCUGAGAUCAGAUUUUGGUGGAGAAUUAAAAGCAGGGCAAUUUAGCUCCUUUAAAGGGUUGCUGGUUUGGGAGGACCCAGCUAUUUUUAGCUCUGUUGCUGUCUGUCCAGGAAGCUAAAACAGCUAGUCAAUUAAAUGGUAAACAGUGUGUGUGUGUGUGUGUGUGUGUGUGUGUGCAAGGUGUUGUGUAGGAGUAGGGCAGGGAGCUGGGGAGAUAAAAUAGGCCUCAGAAAAGAGUCUACCCAGGGCAAGAACUUUGCAAAGAGUUGCACAGUGUCAUGCAGAUAAAGCAUCCACUGGUGGCCACCUGUUACACAGUGCACACGUUUAUUUGAUGUUGCGCAGCAGAUGGAAUGGAAUGACACUAAGCCAGCUGAUCACUCAUGCUCAGGCAUCCAUUGAGUGAUGGUCACAAACUCUCUGCCAUUUACUGACUAUCUGCUAUACACCUAGCAUGGCGCUUUACUUCCGGUGUGCCAUUGGAUGUUGACAGCUGCAGCCUGAGAAGCCGAUACAGAGACAUUUUUGCCCAAGAUUACCUACCUGAUAGGUGCCUGAACUGGAUUAGAAUCUAGUUUUCUUUCCAACUCUGCUCUAGUCACUUCUGUAGCCUGCCUCCCACACUGGUCCCAGCUGCACUGACACUAUGUGAUCUGAAAUCGGUGUGUGAGGGCACUUUGGCCUUCCUGGAGAAAGGCAUGGAGCACACACAGGCCCGAUAUGCACACACAGAAAUGUGUAUAUACUGAACCUACAUUUAAAUCCACAUUUUAAGUGUGCCAGUAUCCUUAAAAAGAAAUAAUGAGGGACUCUCAUUUACAUUUUGCUUUCCAGUUUUCCUGGAACUGUAAUUUGUACUCCUCUUUUUUAAAAAAAAUCCCCUUUACCUUCUUUUAUUUAUUAUGAUCCCUGGAGAAUGUGUCCUCUGCUCAUGGCCUAGAUAAGAGAUCAUGGGUAUGGAGCAGAGGUCAGCAAGAUAGACGUAUGUUAGAAAAAAAAAAGAAAAUAGCAGGGUGGAACCACAUGGCUCUUAGUGGUCAUUUUUUCCCCUCAUGCUGUGUAGCAAACCUGAGGCAUGCUCAAUUUGGCAUCUUUGAAUUUAAACCAUGGAUAAACCAAAUAGAUCACAAACUAUGAUUCCAAAUAGAAACUGUGGAUUUAUCCGAAGGUAUAUUAUAUGAUCUCAUCCAAACAUAAAAUUCAUAUUCUAAGAGUGGUGUGUAAAAUUCCCCGAGAUUUUAGUGCAAGAUAAUUUUCCCUUUUCAUGUGCCUUUCCUCAUAUUGAGAUAGGUGGAAAUCUUUUAAGAUUUUAAUUAACCUUCGUCCUAAUGAAAAACCAACUACCAAUCUAUAGAUGGAAGGAUAUUUCCUUGGACAAUGUAGCCGUUAGUGUAAGGUCUUGUUGAAUCUCUUUCAACAAGUGUUUGGAAAAAAUCAAAUUUAGAAAUAAACAUUCAUAUCUAGAGGGCCUAUCGGGGUUUCCCUCCAAGCAGACAAAGGAAUACUUUCAGUCUUAUUAUAUGUCUUUGGACAAGCUCAGCUCUCAGGGCCUGCUGAGCUCUAAUAUCUUACGAAUCACUAACAGUCAAACUUCUUUCAUUUUGAGGCCCAUUCCUGGAGGGAUAAAGAUAAUGUGGUCAAGGAUGCAACAAUCAGCUGUUGGACUCAGAUGUGGCUGUAGAUAUAAAACAGAGUAUCUCUUCCUUUCCAGAUCAAAGGGAGAGAGUCCUUAGAAUGCUCAAGUUCGAAGUAGACAAAGAGGAGAAGGAAUAUCUAGCAUCAAAAUAGUGGCAAAUAUAAAAAUCUAGGCUUAUUACUGAGACCUAGGAAACAAUUCUCAAGGAAUGUUCCUGCUGCCAGUUACCUGAGAUUUUUUAAUUACAGGCAAUUCAUGAUUACCUGUGAAAGGAGGGAUGGAGAGGAGAACUCAAACAAUGAAUGUUGCAAAAUCAUACAAAUUGGCUUGGGAAUAUUCUGCAUGAUUUCUCCCUCUUAGAAAUUUGCCUUCCUAAUUGUAUUUUGCUUAAUCCAAUAUUAAAAAUUAGUUGGUUUCCCCUGAGAAGCUCUGGAGUUAAACUGCAGAGGGAAUUAGUUUCAGGAGCAUGCCACUUGGAACGUGGUGGAUGAAACGUAUUCGGGCCUUAAUGGACCAAAAGCUCCCACAGAUAUUUUAAUCUUAAAGGAAAGUGUCAUCUUGAGCACCUUACUAGUCUUCUCAUGUUGCCUAAAAGGCUGUAAACAAGUAUUUGUGAUCGUUAUGUAGGUGAGAUUAUUUCUACCUAGAUUUGUGCAUUUUUACCUGGAGAAUGUUCCAUUCUCGUCUCUCCCCUCCUUGGUAGCUGUAGUAAAUAAUAAACCAUCUAUCAGACUUAAGCAUAGGGCCUUAAUGGGGCCAGAAAUUUUGUUGAAUAAAUGAGAACAUUACUUAAGGCAGGUCUGGGUCUCAUUGUGUGACACCCAAGCAAUCCAUGAGGUGAUGUUUGUGAUUUAGGAAUCCGAACCCUUAGGCUAUAGAGUUGUUUUCUUUGGGGUUCCAGACUAAGUUCCCUUUGCUUCCUUCCCAACUUCCUUAAUUCUUUCCUUUCUCCCUCCCUGCCCCAUUUUUUAUAUUUGCCUUGUACCAUAUUGAAAUUAUUUCAUAUUGUAAUGUUCCGUCAGUAUAUACAAAUUCAAAAGUAGACGUACAUCCCUUCAGCUUAUAGUGCAUCUACAACUGAAAAUCCAAAACAAAUUUGCACACUGAAUUCCAACAAAAUGACAAAUGCCGCACUCAGAUGAACAAUACUGAUUUGACGUGAUGAACGACAGUGAGCUAACAUUAAGUGCUCACUUGUGGCAGUGGUGGUGGACCGACUGGUAGGCUGGUGAUGCUUUAAUUUUAUCAUACCUUUCUGUGUUUGUGAUGUAGAAGACAGUUCUAACAUCUUACUUAAAUCCCCUAGAAAGCUUUGGUCCACAUAAGUGUGCUGAUAGAUCAUGUAGCCUCACGAAUCCAUAAUCCAUUUUUAGGUUCACAAUCAGGUAUUGUGGGUCCUGGUGAGUAUGUAGUUUUGGGGAGUAUUUUAAAUAAAAAGUUAAAAGGUAAUGAAAGCAGAAUAAGUGGGGUUCCUCUCAGGCCCUUGGAAAGAAUCUGUACAGAGCAGUGCUGAACAUCAGGCAUUCUUAGCUUCAAAUCCAUCUUCCAAAUCCAUCUCGUUCAUGGGUCAAGCACUUCUCUACUUUCCUUUUAUUACCAAUAAAAAUGUCCAACCGGGUAACAAUGAGGAGUUGUAUUUUGUUUUCAUUUUAAGGAUAUAGUUUUGCAUUAUACAUUGGUACUUUUUAAAGGUAAUUCUUAAAAUAAAAACAGAAAAUUAGAUAUGGUUAUUUGUAGCACAGAUGGUUGCACAAUCUUUUUAUGUAAACUAUUUCUCCUAUGAUGGAUUCCUACAAGGAAACCCUGGGAGAAAGUUUUGGGGCUUGCCUUUUUUUUUCAGCAUUCGUUUAAUUUACAGAGGUCAUGGAAAUAGAGAGGUCAGCAUUUCUCAAGAACAGCUUUUCCCAACCUGCCUGGCUUCUCGGAGCUUGAUCUGGGGGCUCACACAGCCCUUGUCAUUGUCUGGCACCUCGCCUGGUAACAUGGUUGUGAGCCCUGUCAGAAGACAGGGCCAAAGUGUGCCUCAGGUCAGCAUUUCUCUGGGGACCGAGGGGGCAGGCAGAACCCAGAGGUCAGAUCUGCCUUGGGGAUAACAUUGCAGAGUCCAGUGGUUGCAAUCAGGUGUGUUAUAAGUCAAAGCCACAUGGCAAACAGCAGGCACAGGGAAUGCUCAAAGGUCAGAUGGGCAACACAAGCCAGGGUCAGGAAGAACUUGGAGCUACAAUACCAGUUGGCAAGCAAAGCAGUCAUAAAAACCAUGAUCAGGCACAUUAUGCCUGUUGGACCUAAAUUCUUUCUGCCUACGAGACUGCUGUGCUCAGAGACAUUGGCUCUGGUACCAUGUGAGAGCACCUGGUAGACUGGAGAAUAAACUAUUAUACUCAAGAUCUAACCUGCCCUCUCAGGUUCUCUUCUCUCUAAGACAGGACAGUGAUGUCUCCACUGAAGUGACCUCCAUCGUACAGGUAUCCAGGAUACAUGCUCUGGGUGGAGCUUAGUUCUAAGAGAAUGUUUAUCUUGGAACCUUCUAAGGCUUUUCAUCAAAUAGUCCUAGCUUUCUUACUCCUUGCUUUAUGGGGUUGUUGUGAAUGGGUUUUGUAAAUAAUAAAGGACUACCACAUACCAGAUGACUACAAUCCUUUCUUUCCAGUGGGGAUUCUGAUGUUUAUAUUACCUGAAAGUUGUUUUCAAGUGAGGUUCUCAGCUAAUAAAUAUUUUUUUGGGUUUUCUUUCUAUUUUUUUUUUCCUUGAUUGAGCCUCAUCUUUUUGGUGACCAAUAAUUUAUUGGAAAUUUUAUCUGAGAAAAAUGUUUGCAGAGAUGGAGAGUUUCCCAGAUUCAAAAGAGAUUUUUCUUCUAAAACUCAGAGCUGGUAGAGCUACAAGACCAGCCUCUUUGUCUAAUCAAUCAGGUUUUUAACACAAUACACCCAGCUGAUGCUUGGGUAGAAUACAAAUUCCCAGUCAUGUGAGCUCUUAUCAGUUAUAAUACUGACAAAGAAUUAGCCAGUCUCUUUUGGUAAAAUGAUAGUUGCGGGCGCCUUAAUUUUUCUAGAAAUAUUUGGGGGAUUUGAAAGCUUAAGAAGUAAACAGGUUGUUUUGCUCAGGAAACCUUCUCUGAAAGACUGAGCAGGGUUCAUCUGAUGACAUUAGCUUUGCAAGUAAUUUCCAUGAUGUCAAGGGCACACUGGAGAUUAAAGAGGGAUUAAGACCUCCUUGCACAGUUAUGGCAUUGCAGUAAAUGGACUGGACUUGGCAGGCUGCAGCUCCGGUCGGCAACUUUCCAACACCUAAUCAUACACAAUAUAGGUUUGUGGUGUUACCUGGGCUAUUUUCACAGAGGCCAAGAAAUGUUUAACAGAUAAGGUGGGAGGAGAAAGAGGCUGGGAAGGAGGGUGGACCUGAGAAGAGCAGUUUAAGACACACCUGCCACCAUCAAGAGCUGCCGAAGAAGAUCAAGACAUUAAGGAAAAACAAUUUUUUUCAUAAUGUUUCAAAACAUGAGUUUCCAUCCUUUUUCCACUCCCAAAUUCUCCAGAUAUGCCUCUCUCUUAAAAGCUUUUUAUCCUUCAUGUUAUUAUCAAUUUCUUCAGCAAAAGGAGGCAGGUUUGUCCAGGAACUUCAUGGAAUAAAAAUGAGUUUAUGUUUUAAAACGGAAACAGCUGGAUGGCCAAAGCCAGGCAGGGAGGCAGCUCUGGUUUCAUCAGCAAAGGGAAACUCAAGGGCCUGGAGAGAACAACUGGGCUGGCAGCCAUGGCGGGGAGAAGAAAAGGAAACACACGAUCAUAAAGAACUAAUCAUGAUGAAAAAUGAAAAGCGAGAAAGAGCCAAGAACAACAAGCAAUAAAUAGAUUUGGAAAGGGGAAAAGACCAAAGGAAUGCAAAACCAUACUCAGGAAAGGGGCAGCAAGAUCAUGUGCGUUUCAUUGAAAAAUGUUUAAUAAUUCUUAAAAUCAUUAAAGAGUCCUACAGAAAUGUUUGGAGAUAACUUGUCAGACCUGAGAUUUAAUUCUUUGUGUUAUUUCAAAGCUGAUUUCAGUGCAUGAAAAGAAACAAAGUAAGAAAGGAAGAAAGGAAGAAAAGGAAAGGAAGAAAGAAGGAAAGAAAGAGAAUCAAAUGGACCUAGAGGGAGGAAUCUAAUGUAUAAUGUGCCAGAAUGCUUGGAUUUUUUUCUUUCUGCUUUUAUUUUUUUUUAACUUUUAAUUUCAGCCCGAUGGUAGGGAAAGUAAGCAAUUAGUUUGACUCUGUAGGUUCAAAGACUACAUCCAGGGCUGGGGAUUUAGCUCAGUGGUUUUGCCUCCUGCUGCGCAAGUGCAAAGACCCGAGUUCGAUCUCCGGUACCAAAAAAAAAAGGACUACAUCCAAAGUGAUAAAUCCUGAGUUUCUAAGAGUAAUUCAUACAUUCCUAGCUUUAAUUAGAAAUAGCAUGUACAUUUUUCUCUAUGCAGUAAUUGUCUGACAUUCAUGUGUUUGUCUCAAGGGACUGACAGUUCUGACUCACAGGUAGAUCUCUAAAUAUUUUCAGAUGAAAUUAACAUGGAUUUAAGGAGGACUUAAGAAGAAAACCAGAUCCUAGUUUGUUGUCCCUCUUGAAGUGUGUUCGACAUGAUAAAAUAUACAAACAUGGCCAAUUGUCCAGGCUAUCCUCGAGAUGGGAUUUUUAAUAAAAACUAUUUGAAGUUUUACAGCAGUUAUAGAUAAAAUCUUACCACAGAAAUGGUGCUGUCUUUUUAUAGGGGGGAUACUAAUUAUUAGCUUUUUUAAAAAAAUUAGUUUUUAAUAGCAGCAUUCGUUUAAAGAGAGAAAAAAAUGCUUAUGUUACCUUCUGGAAUGUACAUUCAUCUUGUUAAUGACACUGUAGUUCAUGGUUGGCAAAACAGGACUUCUGAAUCAACCUGUCUUUUUCUUUCCGUUUGGUAGUUACACUUGAGAAAGAAAGCCAGCCCACUAAAGAUACAUGAAAAGUGCAUGAAGACAGGAUAAAGGAUUUCCUAUGAUUUUAUGUUGUUCUUAAUUAGGAAGCAUAUUGGCAACAAAUGCUAACAUGUGUUAAGAUGUUUAGUUGUAGCCAAAUAAAUGUUUUCUAUUACAACUCUGAAUUCCAUGCCUACUAGGAAACCAUGCUGUUCUGUGCAUGGCUUACAAAAUCCCUUUACAAAUCAUCUCAAGGACCAAUUUUCUGUUGGCUCACAGAGCAAAACUACUUUCGCCACAUGUUCUCCUGAAGGGUCAUGGGCAACUCCAAGCGGAAGUCAAAGACAAGAGGAACAUGAUCUCCGAUGUUGGAACUGCACUGCUUUGUGGUAAUGAAUGGUCCUUCAUGAGCAUACUCAAUGUGAGCCCAGUCUCAGAAGGGGGUGUCCAGAAGCUAGGGAGCAGCACCCUCUCAUCUGUGUUUGUUUUUAUCUCAGUGGAGGAGAAGCCAAGUGAAGAAGAAUUUCCUAUAACUUCUGCUAGCAGUGUAUCACAAAAUGCUUCAUCUCCGAUGAACAAGAGUAGGCACCAAGCUGAGUAACAAGGCUAGAGAGGAUCCUUAUCUUGAUCAUUGCGUAUUUUUAAAGAGCAAACAUUUAUUUUCUACUUCUAAUGUCAGAAGUUGAUUGAAAAAGAACAAAAAGUGAAUGGUGGUGAAGUUGUUUCCUAAAAUUUAAUAUUAGGGCACCUUCUCUAUUCAGGAUCUUAUGUUGCAAGCUAACUGUACAACUGUCAUGCUUUUGGGGGGUAACUGGUGCAUGGAUUAUUCUAUCUGUGUCUUAGAAACUUUAAGAGAAAAGAUUUCCAUCAUGGUAUUUUCUACUGCAUUGCACAGAAAUUUUACAUACCCUCAUUCAUUUACACAGCUGAAAUGACACAGGAGAUAGCCAGCAUCUGUCCAUUGGUUGGAAAGCACUCUAGUUUUUUGAUAUCAAUAAGUCAAUGGAAUCCAUGACUUACAGCAAUCUUGCGGUAUUCAUUCAAUAUGCUAUGACCAUGUUACCUAAAAGCUUCAUCUCUGCUCCCUGCAAUAUUCUUCCUCCAAUUUUUGGCUGGUGUGUUCUCUCCCUUCUUCAUGCCUUUUUUCAAUUGUCCCAAUUCCUGAAGCUUCUCCUCAUGUCUCAAGUAUUCUCUUUCCCUGUGUGCAAUUAUUUUGUUUUCUUCAUUAAUUUAGUUCCUCUCUCCUCUUCUAGGCUAUACAUUUCAUGAGGAAAGAAAGGCAUUUUGGUGUCAUUCUGGUGCCUAAGAACCUAAGUAGGAGAUGUGUAAUAAAUAAUUUGUUCACUGAAUUAACAGGCCCAUAAUAUUUUUGUUAUUCCUCUCACAUCCAUGGGCAACAUGUUCAAAACCUUGAAAAUUAUUAAAUCAUUUCUCUGCAUUGCUAUGUAAAACUUCUAAUAUUCCUAAUAAGACUGACCAUGCUUAUGAAAUCUUUUUUCCUUGGCCCACUGAGUAUAUGGACCACGAAAUAUUUAACAAAAAAGUGAGACUGUACAAAGAAGCACUAGGUUAGUGAAAGAUGAUUUUUUUUUUUUAGUGCUUUUAGGUGGUGACCUCUUAACAAUGUAUCAGAUCUUUUGUAAACCGUGAAAUGAAAUGACUGGCUAUCGGAACUAAAUUUGAAGAGAAAAACUGUCAUCUUCAAAGCAGUAAAAUCUCUAUAUAACCAUGUAAACUAAUUACUAGGUUAAGUAAAAUCACUGAAAUAUAUCAGGCCUUUCUCAUGUCUGCAGGGCAGACAUAAUACAGUAAAUUUCUAAUAGUCAGCCUGGGAAGGCGCUGUAAUGGUUAGAGGAUGUCAUGGUAAUAGUCUCAGUUUUGGUUGGGAGACUUACAAAGAGAAUAUUGGUUGUACAUAAACUGUAGAAUCUACUUGAAUAUUUCUUUUUCAUUUCUCCCUAUCAAAGAGUGGAAGAUAUUUUGUGUAUAAUGUUUUUUUUUAAUUUUAGAUUAUUUGGUAUAUUGUAUUUUUUCAUGUGGGUAACAAAAAUACGUGAGCAAGAGCAAAACCUACCAGAAGCCUCAAAAACAUAGGUACCAUGGAAGACCUCAUGAUUCUUUCAAUUAUUAAAAAGCACUAUUUUAAGAAGACAUGUUAGUAAUCCACAGUAAGUCAGAAGUAUUGGAUCAACACAUUGGAACAUUGAGUAUUUAUUUAGUUUUUGGUGCUGGGGCUGGAACCUAGGGUCUCACAUGUGGCAGGUAAAUAUUCUACAACUGAGCUGUACCCCUAGUUCUGAAUGUUUGUUUUAUUAGGUCAUUUUAUAUACAUAUAUAUUUAAAUUUGGGACAUUGUUUUCUAAAGUCUCAAACUACUCUUAUACUCAACCCCGAAGACAACCCAGCUCACCACUCUGGAUUACGACUAACUGUUUGCGUAUAUGUUUUUCCCAAGAAAUUAUGCACCUUGAAGAAAAAGACUUCAUUUUUUUUUGCUUCACAAUAUUUCCCAUGACCCAGUGCAUGGAAUGGAUAAAUUACCCUUAGCAGAGGCUCAUCAGCGAUUCCUGACUUCCCUGCUAACUUUUCCUAGAGAUGUGAAUUAAAGAUAGAAAUUUGUUCAGACCAUUGAUGGUCCUCAGAAAUACAAUCUUAAAAAGUUGAUAUCUAUCCGGUCUCAAUUCAUGGAGAGCGGUGGGAACCAGACCUCUGAAAAGUGGUUGAGUAUUGGGCUACAAGCUUAGGGGAUAGUCCAUGAGGAAUAAAACCAAAAACAUACAUUAACAUUUAUUUGCCCAAACGGCUGGUGCCUUAAAAGCUGGUGCCCUCCCCCAUUCCAAUUAACAUGGAGGGAAAUAUUCCAGCUGCUGGGAUCUUUCCUCUGCAUGCGAACCUGCCGUUGUUGCCUGGGUAGCCUGUGUGUCUCUUUGGAAUUGAUAAUGAGGUUCAAGAGAGAGAGGUAUGGCCUGUACUAAGCAUGUCACCCCUAUUUAGCACCUUUGCCAGGAUGGCAGCCACUAUUGUUUUAUUAUGUCCCUGAUCAGCUGGCACUAUUCAUAAAGUAAUCACUGCCAUUAACACAUCACGCCUCAAGCCAUCUGCUGCAGCAUCACGUACACCAAGCUGUUGGUUGCAAGCAAAGCAGGUGUCAUCUAAGGAUAGUGGCACGGUAAAGGUGGGAAGUCAUCAUAGUGAAAGAAGAUAUGUUCUAUCAAAUAAUUCCAUAUUUUGAUACAUUAUAGUAUAAUAGGCCAUGGUUAUUUUGCCCAACUUGCAGAUGGCUUAAAUAAGAUAAUUCAAGUUUGAAAUAUUUUAUUUUCAACACUGGUCAGUUAUGGAGCCAAAAAUGUCCUUGAAUACCUUGAUGAUAGCAUCUUGAUCACAAGUGGACUAUUGCAUUAAUUUGCAGUAAAGUUUAGAGCAUUCUUACAGAAGCCUUCCUCUGAUCAAUCAACUCUUCAAGUGACAAACAUUUACUGAGCAUGUAGUAAGUGACACUGAUACCUGUCUUGCUCAAAUUGUAAAAGUACUAGUUUAAAACAUGAUCUGGUAAUGUAUAUGGUAGAGACUCCAUGUGUACUGAAUUCCCACCCUUUGUUCUGUCCCUAACACUUCUCUUGAUUUUUGAAUAAUUUUAAGUUUUUAUUACUUUCCAUAUUGAUGGCAUUUUUAUGUCCAAAACAAGUUUACAUUGGAAAAAUAUAAUGAUUAAAUGCAAUCUAUAAAAAUGGAUAAAGUAUAGGAUGAUCAGUUAUUGCCACCCUCUUCAUUAUGAAGGGGAUUUGUGAUUAUACAAUCAUGAGUGGAGUUAAAAAUUUAAUUGAAAGUGUUAAGUGAGGUUAGGGAGUGAAAUAAGUGAUCAUACUUGGUCCAAAUAGUCUUUUCCACCUGCGUGUAAAGUGGAACUGCAUUCCUUGUUUCUUUAACUAUAGAAAAUUUAUCUAUUUGCUCUGUACUCCCCCCAUAAAAAAGAAAUAAUAAAACAUUAAUGAGAGUAGCUAACUCUGCCCUCUAUUUCAAUCCCCAAGCUUUGCUCUUAUCUUGGAAGUGAGAAGUGUUGGAUGAGGGGUUGGAUCUGCCAGCCCCUCUGUUACUUUUAGCAGCAUCCUGCUCUUCACUUGCUAAGGAUAUAUGUGUCUGGCUAUGCAGGCUGUGGUCCUAGGGUCCAUGUAACACAGCACUGUUCACCAGGACACACCUGUCCACAUAUCCUCUAGGCUACUGGGUGGUCUAAGGGAUUUUUAAGGCUAAAUUUGACUUUACAUUUAGAACUUCACCUCUAUGGGUGUAUGUUAAUCACCCAUGGAAUUGGUGAAGGCUACCGGAUUCCAAAAUCUAUUGAAAGCAAAGAUAGCCAUUUUCUAUAUCAAGAUUUCUCAACUACUUUUGAACUCAACUUCCUUUUGAAAGACAAAAGAAAUGUCAAGCUCUCUUCUCAUCCCUGAAGAUUUGUGGAUCCAUCUGUUGUCACCAAAAAGACACUCUCAAGAUCUACUUUUGUAGGUGGAGUUAAGAAAAACGUUUUAAAACUUCUCUUCUUGCCUUUACACCCUGAGAAUUUGGAGUGUAGAUUUCAGAUGGGAAGUAGACUACUUUUCACUAUCAAAUACUCAAUUGAAGGCAAGAUUUAGUUAUUUUGACUUGAAGAUUGAAAUUUUGGAGUCUGGAAUGGCUACCUUUGAAAAUAUAAGUGAAGAUAAAAAGACACAAAUGAAGAAUCAAAGAACAAGCUAAUGAUUAUUGUCCUUUUCUAAGGGGACUACAUAUGCUCAAUAAAUCUGUGAUUACUGACUACCUACUGACUUACAGGGACAGGCAUGCUGAUGGUUUUGGAUACUGUAAUUUUAAGUUGACUUUGCCACAUGUGAUUUAAUACUUUGAAUACAAAGCCCCCAAAUUGUUUGCUAUUUUGUUUGGAUCAAAAUGUGUAGCUCAAAUGACUUUGUAAGACUGGCUUCUCAAACUAUCACCUGCCCUUACAUCAGGCUCAGAAAGAACACAAAGACAAAAGACUCUUAGGUCCACUUCUGAUGCAUUACCAGCUCUUGCAAAUGCUCAACCAAGAAAAUACAUAAUGGUUCCUCUUUCGUCACUUUUGUUAAAAUAUUUUUGUUGAAAGUUGGUAAAAGCUGUAGAUGAGCAAGCCUGGUCAUAGGUUUGAACCUGGCACAAACGACGAGGGCACCUGGGAGAUAUUCUCCCGCUGAACAUGUCCACAGUACAGUUUUUGCCUCAGGAGCAUGUUCACUGUGGCUCUGCAGGACCCAGUUGUGUGAUAGUGGGAGGCUGAUCGACUUAAAGCACAUUGGUAGCUUGUGAACACUUAAGACUGGAAACCUUCUUUGAUAAAUGCACAUCUGUCUUCUUUUUUUGAAGUCCUUAGGAAAAAUGUUGCCGGACAUUUUGCUGCCCGGAGGAGUCUAGACUUCCUUAAGCAUAAACCUUAAUCCUUCCUGGCUUCCUGCUACAAUUCUUCUGUUUCCUCCCCCAUCUUUUUCUGGGCAAAGCCAAUUCUUUUUCUCUACUCUUACCUGAGGGUCUCUGUUCACUUUUGAAGCCACAGACAAUGCAAGAAACAUUUAUUCGAAUACCUAGGCCCCAAAUGUUUCUGGAAAAAUAAAAGAUGUGUGACCAAGGACAUUACUUACCCUUUCAAUCUGUGAAAUGGAGACAAUCCAGAGAUAUCCCCUAAGGGGCCUAUGGGUAAUCAUAUAAUGUUUAUAACUCUAUAAAACAAUGGGAUACUUAUCCUUGCAAUUUGUAAAUAUAAAUUUAUAAAGACUAUAACAGUUUAACUUAUUAUAGUACUUAUCAACAUUGUUAUGUGAGUACCAUGCACUAGCCCAUUGUGUCACUGAAACCCCCUUACUGAUGUUGUUAAACACUCAGGCUUCCAGAACAUACUAAGUGUUCAAUAAAUAUAAUCAGUUACUAUUUAGAGUAAGAUAAAAAGGUAAUAAAAUAAAGCUGUAAUUCUUGUAUGUACACAGCAUGGAGGAGAAAGACUACACAGCAUGGCUAAAGACUUGGAGAUCUGACUUGAAUAUUUUAAAGGACGUAUCUUAAAGGGAUCAAGCCCAAAGAUGAUCUACCACAGAGCUACAUCUCUCGCCCUUUUUCUUUUUCUUUUUUUAUUUUGGGACAGGGUCUCACUAAAUUGGCCAGAUGGGACUUGAACUCAUGAUCAUCCUGUCUCAGUCUACCUCACUGCUGGGAUUACAGCCUCCUUGAGGUAAAAAGCUUUGCUCCACCCAACGUCCCUGCCAUGAUGUUCUGCCUCAUCCCAGAACCAAAAGCAAUGGAGACAAGUGACUAUGGACUGGAGCCUCUGAAACUGUUUUUACUUGAAGACACCGAGAACUACAGCAUCAUUCAUUGUUGGCAUGUUACAGUAGAAAGACCACUGGGCUUGGGAGUAAGAAGAUGGAAAUCAAAGAGCCAGUUUUUUCACUUCAACAAAAUGGUGCUGAAGAAAUAGGAUAUUUCAGUGGUUCCUGAGCAUAACUUACAACAUCAGCAUGGUUGGAACUCUGUGCACACAUGCGUACACAUGGAUUACCCUCCUGAGCCUUUGGUUCAAAAGAUUGGAAAUUGAUUCCUAUUGUUUACAAGCAGCUGGUGUCAAUGACUACUGAUACAUCCAUUGAAUUCUAGUUUCUUCAUUUGUAAAACAGGAAUAGCAUUUCCUAUCCGUCAUAAACGAUUGUUGUGAAGAUUAAAUGCAACAAUAGACUUGUGGCACAGGCAUAAUGCUCAGAGGAAGCUCCCUUGUUUCUUCUUCCAGUGAGCCUUCCUUGUUGUAGCUCAGAGCUUCCCAAAGGGGAUUAGCUCCAUGGGAUGCUCUGCGGAAUGACUGUGUCUUGGGCAGUUGUAUUUGACACUUAGUCUUCCUUCCUGCUUGCUAAUGGACCAUUAGAACUUUAAGGACUCUAAAAUGAGCAGAAGAAAACGGACUGGUUAAAUCUGUUGCACUCAGUGUCCCCCAAAAAGUUAUUUUACUAUUAAACUUUUUAAAGUGGCAAUUAUUAAUUGAUGUUCAACAGAGCAUGCUUCAGGGAUCACUUCCCUCUACAAUCUCUAACUAAUGUUCUACCUUUCUAUAACCUCUCUCAGGGAAUUUACUGCUUGUUUUGAUCUGAUUAAGACCCAGGCUUUCUAAUCAUCCCGGACAAUAUCUGCUCUUUUUCUGAACUACUAAUUUCAGUGGACACUCAUAUUAGUGAUGAUUCUAUUUAACUUUAACUUCCUGAGAUUAUGAAGGUAGAACACAAAUUAUCUUGGAAGAAAUUAAACCAACAAUUUAGAAAUAAAAUUAAUAACUAAACAGUAAAAAUUCACAAGUACAAGGGUGUUAAAUAAAAAAAGAGAACAUUAUAUUUUGAGAGAGCAUAACUUACUCUUGCACCCAGUUUGAUGGGAUAAAUUUAAAAGUACAAGUUUGUCUGAGAGCUAAAUUAAUCCAAUAGUCAGAAAUACCUUGAUAAAAACUUAUAAAUGAACUAAAAAUAGUUAAAUGAGAUUGCUGCUGGAGGAUAACAACAUUGAAGUUGCCAAUCUAAGAGCUAUUGAGAAGCAGAAUAUAGUUACGUAGGUUUUUGGGGUGACAUAAUUUGCCUGGUCUGUAUUUUUAAAGGAAGGUGGACUAUUUUGUUUCUAUACAUCCUCCUGGAACUGAGAAUGUAUAUCUUUAGUUGAGGUGUGUCUAUAAAAUAAUGUCUUACUUAUUCAGGCCUAAGUGGAAGAGGGUACACCUGUAUGGAUGCAUGGCUUGAGGCGAAUGAGUGAACAAGAUAGUUGGAUUCAGGGUAUAAAGUUCAAAGCCAGGUCAGGAAGAGUUAGCAUUAAGACUUUGCUUCUUCAGAUAACUACUCAAUAUGUAUAUUUUUUGCAAGCAUCUUGCUUUUGCAGGUCUGCUAUGAAAAUCUCAGAAGAACAGCUUUGCUUGUGAGCUCUCCCACAUUUCUACUCUGGUCCUGGCCAGAAAGACUGUGAGAACACCCUUUCAUUUGGUAUUUGAGCCCUUCUGCCUCUAUUCCUGGCUUCAGACCAAAGGGAAUAAAUGCAACCGAACAUUUCAGAACCUCGAAAUAGUAAACCGAAAAUGGUUUGCUCUGCUUUUGGUUCUAAAAAUGAUUGACCUGAGAAUUUUUUUUCCAAACUAUCUGCUUGGUCCAUCUCUAGUGUGGAUUACUGGACUUUAGAAACCUGAGGAGGAGAGUAUUUCUUAGAAAAUACAUAAAGAAAAUAUGCAAACAAAAUUUUUAUAAUAAAGGUGCCCAGUUGCUACAACAGAGGUUAGAUUUUACGAGCAUGGUUUAUAUUCCUGAGUAUUUAAAGCAGAAGAGGCUUGGAUGAGAAAGUGGAAAACAUGGGCUUGUAUGGUGAGCCAGUUCAUCACUAGCUUAGUGACCAGGGCAGAUUCCCUAGGCUUUGUCUCCUCUGGGCAAAAUGAAUAGAAAUCAAAAGAAUUAUACUUAUUUUAAUUGAGUCAUUAUGAAGAACAAGGUAUUUCAGAAUACCUUAAAAAUUACAGUGCCAAAGACCAUGUGAAAGUCAGUAAAUCAUAGGGACUACAAGUUUGUAUGUUACCACCAAACACACCUGGUUUCAAAUCUCUGUUCCUCUGCAUUCCAGCUCUGUGACCUGCGUAUGUCACUAAAAACCUCUGAACACUGAUUUCAUCAUCUGUGAAAUGAGGAGAGUGAUGUUGGGAGAAGAAAGUCAAAUGAUGUAAAAUGGUAUUGAUGAUGCCUAUUGUACAUACUCAUAGUUCCAGGUGCCAAUCUAGAGAACCCUCUGAACUAUUUUCCACACAGUUACUUAGUCUUCUGAAUCCCAUUGAGUUGACACAAGAAUGAUGCCCAUGUGUUGGGUGGCUGCGUAGGGGGUCAGUUUACUUGCUUGGAUCCAAAAUAUGGAUUAGGCUCAAUGGGAAUAUCCAAAGGAGAAAGUAGAACACUCUGGCCGGGCUAUGCCAAGUAUAAAGCAAUGCUGAUUUGGGUCAAUUUUUAGCAUCCACUUUUCAAUAGCAAAGAGAGAAAGGUGAAAGGUAAAACUAUAUGCAGGGCCACUUUUUGUGGAAUUAGAACACCAGGACAGAUUUUCUUACAUUAGGGAUAGGAUACUUGUUUUGUGAAAAACAGGUAUUCACUAUAACUAAAUAUACAAUGUCACUGGUAGUUUACUUGAUAUUCCCUACACACAUUAAGGAUAGGAAUUUAGUAAAUAUUUGAUUUGAUUAAAUAUUAAAGUAUCAUAUAAGUCUUCCAAUGAAAACACUGUCUUUAAUCCACCCAGCAGGACUUACUGUUCUGCUACCCCUCUAAGGUGUUUGUUAAAUAGCAUUCUCUCUUCCUCCCUUCAUAGUUAAAGUUUUUGAGUGAAUAAUCCUAUUGGCAGCAUUUCUUCAUGGAUUUGGAAUCCCUACAUUUCUCUCCCUCUGGGUAUUGACACUUCUGGGCACUUGUGACUCCCCAAGGGCCACAUCCAAUGACAGUUUGUAAAUGAGAUUCUCUUUUGCCAUUUUGCAUCUUUUACCUUCUGCAGCACUUUUUUGUCCCCUCCCCCAAUUACAGUGAAUCCUUUUCUGUCGCCUUCAGGUGCUUCCUUGGGAUUCUGUCCUUUAUCGCCUUCUCUUUACCCCAUACCUUAAGCCAACCCUGCCAAUCUACUACUCUAGUUAUCUCCCCUACCCGAAACUCUGGGCCCCCAUAAUGUUCCUCCCAAGCUUGUUAUCUUCACCUGGAUGUCGUCAAGCUUGGUGUCCAAAGUCAAAGCUCAACAACUGUCUCUGUAAGCCGGCUCCCCUCUCCUGCCCCCUUCACUUCAGCCAUUUUGUUUGUAUAUGAAAAUAAACUUCUCCUGGUGGGAAAAAUUCAAACCCUCAGCACUAUCUUGGUCCCAAGGCUCUCGUUUGACCUCAAGUUCCAGGAAAUUCCCAUGUUUAGUUGUGAGCCUGUCAAUUUUAUCUAACUAUGUCUGCCACACUUACAGGGUGGACAGAUGAUGCUUCGAGGGUCUCUGGUUCUCUCUGGGAUGUGUACUCAUGCGUUCUGAAGACAGUUGCUAUAACUCCAGCCAUUUCUUCUGUAUUUUAGACAGGAAAAGGAGAUAGACCACAGAAUCAAAGGGCACUUGCCAAUGCCCAAGGGGCAUCCUUUAAGGGGAGUUUUCUUGAAGGAACUGUUUGAUAAUCUUUGCUUAUAUUGAGUUGACCAGAGCAGAGCUGCAUCAAUCCACCAGGGAGGCAAAGAAAUAUAGUCAAAACAUCUGACCACAGUGCUGCUCCAAUGAGAUAGAACACUAUGGGAAGGGAAGAAAAAGCAGCAUGAGAUUGAGUAGAUGACCAAGGGUCUUUACAAACCCGUUCUCUUUACUUUCCUAUGUUUUCUUAAAAGAAACAACCACUGAAUUUGGAAGGAUAAAAGAGACUACAGUUCUUUCUUUCCCACCCUCAUCAUCUUACUUCAUACUCUUCUUACCUUUUUGCUUAGAUUCUUGCAAAGUUACAUGUAAGUCCCUACUCCACUUUUACUAUUUCCUCGGGUCUCCACGCAUUUAUUAAAGAAGAGAGUGUUGCUGAUGGGCACUGUGCAACAUGCUCAGGAUGAAAGAAACAAUGUCCUUGUUCUUGAUUUGAUCUACACAUUAUAUACCUGUCACAAACAUCACACUGUACCCCAUAAAUAUGCACUAUUAUUAUGUGUCUAUUAAAAUCAAUCAAUCAUCAAUCAAUCCCAUGACCUUUGUUAUGGUACAUAUAGUCCUGUCGGGGAGACCAACAUGCCAGCAACUGGUCCCAGUACACCACAUCACAGGAUGAGAUGGACGUGGACGAAAUGAAUUGAGGAAGCAGAGAGAAAACCAUGGCUACUGGAGCCUGGGAAAGUCUGAGAAGACUCUAUAGAAAAGUGGAUAUUGUCAGCUGAGUUGUGUUUUAGUAAGCAUUUCACAGGCCAACUCAAAGAGAAAUAAUAAGUUUUCUGUGUUUGCAAACUAUUGCCCAUGAAAAACUGAGGGGUGACAUACUUGACCUCACUCCAAAUUUAAUUUUUAAAGAAAGGAAUCAUAAGUAAAAGUAAUUUAAAAUAUAACAUUACAGGGCACAGUAUUGAUAAAUGAGAGGAAAACUGGUUCUUAAAGAGUGUACCACUCACUGACCAUGCCCUGAAAUUAACUGAGAACUCAUUUGUCAAGAGUGUACCUACCCUGAGAAAAUCUUCCAAUUAACAUCAAAAGUGAUCAUUCUUAACCUCUCAUGCAUUAAGAAAUUCUUGUCUGCACCUGAUGUUCUGUUCAUAAUCAAUGGAGCUCUUUAUGUAUGUUAUUUCAAAUUUAUCACCCUGUAUAUUACUAAAAUGAACGAAUUAAUAAAUGAAUCUGCUGUAGGUCCAGAAGCCAGAUUUAUUUGUUGUCUCCUGGUUCUCAUAGGAUUUUCCUUUGGUCUGUAAGUCAUUUCACUCUGCAGUUUCUCACAGUUUCCGAUAUUUAUUGAUAGCUACUGACAGCAUGUGUUGGUACUUACAGACCAAUGGUGUCUAUGUAAGAAAAAUGCUUUUUGGGAGGAUUAGAUCUGUUCUGAAAAAUGUCAGCCAUGUCACUAUCAGACUAUGCUAAGAAGACAAUGCAAAAGUCCUAUCAGUUCUAACUGUAAUAUAUUGUCACAGAAACAUGCCUCAAGAUAAAUUAAGUAAUACUUGAUGCUGUCAUGGUAAUGGGAAGAUUGAUAAGUUUAUAAACUUUGGUUGAGAACAAAUUAGUGCAAUAUUCUUGGUGGCCACUAUCACGAUAUGAGAUUAAGAUAUGUUAGGCUAUAUCCCUAAAUUUGGACCCUUAAUUUCUACCUAUAAGAAUCUACCUAUGAAAAUGAUUAAAAUUUAGAAUAUGAUGUAGAAAAUGGAAGUCAGAGCAUUCAAUAAACUGCAAAAUAUCCAAGAGCUCGAAUAUUAUGUAGUCUAUCAAAAAUUCUGUCUUCAAAUAUUUUUGAUUACAUAAAAAAGUGCCUGUUACAUUCAGUGAUGGACAAGAAGGAAAGUAUUAAGGUCUCAUCCCUCUCUAUGUGGAUAAAUGUCAUUCAUGUUUAUGCAUGCAUAUCUUUCAUGUGAUUUGCACUGGACUGCUAAGAGUUUAAGUGAUUCCUGUUAUCUUCAGGGUUAUCUAAAUUUUAUAACUUUCUACAUCAAGAAGUGUGAGUUUCAUAAUCAGGAACAAAAAAGAAAAUCUUAAAAGGAAAGCUAAACAAAGAUCAUGCAAGAGAGUAGGAAGGGUUUGUUUUUGGCCCUUUUCAUAUGUAAUUGUCUACACUAAUAAUUCUCAGACUUGCAUACCAAGUGAAGUCAAUCUCACUAAGGGUCUCAAUCAAGACUCAGGCUUGAGUGUGUGCUCCAGGCUCUGAGCAUUCCCCCAUCACCCCUCUCCAUCCUGUCCUCCAAAUUUCCAUCCAUUUUUUUUUUCAAGCCAGGAAUGUUCCCAUAUGUCUGUAAUCCCAGCACUUUAGGUGGCUGAGGCUGGAGGAUUGCAUGUUCAAGCCCAGCCUGGGCAAUUUAGUGAAUUGGAAAGACAUUGUUUCAAAAUGUAAUAAAUGAAUGAAUGAAUGAAUGAAUAAUAAAUAAAUGAAUGGGCUGAGGAUGUACCUCAGUGGAAAGGCCCUGUGUUUAAUGCCCAGGAUUGAAAAAAGGAAUUUACUUUUUUACCAAAGCACAGCUAUUGUCAUGUGACUCCCUCCUUGAAGCAUCAUUAUAACUUCCUGACUGCUCGGCGUGCUCAGCGUGGCUCCAGCUCCUGUCCACCGUCUGAUACCUUUUGUAUCGCCUCAUCUUCUGACACUCCAGCCCAGCAGGCGUCUGGUUCCCUUCACGACACGCCUCACUCUGCCCUCCCAGUCACUGUUUCCUCAUGUUUGUUCGUUCUGCUCACCCUUCAAAGCCCUGCUAAAAUUCCUAGAAUGUUCAUUGUGAAUGUUUUCCUCCAUCAUUUCCUCUGUGGACUGUAUUGGUCUCUUUUAUUGCAUUUACCAGGAUUUAACUUGUUUCAUGCUUACUUGUGUCUUUCUCUUCUUGUGUUGUUAGCCCCCCAAAUUAUACCAUCUGUUGUGAUUUUCAGUUGUUAGCAGGUAUUACAGUCAUCUAAGGGUUAAUUAAAACAGAAAUUUGGGGUCCCAUUCCAAGUAUUUCUAAUGCAAUAUACCUGUGGAGGGGCAUAGGAAAGUCCUUUUCCAAUAAGGCCACAGGCGCUGCUGCUACAGUUGGUGACAGAAAACACUUUGAGAACCAUUGCUUUCCAAGGAGGGUGAGAAUGAUGUAAAACAAAUGAGACUCUGCUUUGCUGUGGAAGAUAGAGCACGGAUAGUGAAAUCAUAGGAUUUCAUGCAACUUGGGUUAGAUUUCUGUUCUGUCACUUGAUGUUUGAACAAGUUACUUAACCUUUCUAAGAAACUUAACUUUCUUGCCAGGUAGUUUAGGAACAUUAUUAACUCUUAUAUAAGAAUUUUUUCUGAGGGUUAUAUAGGAUUGCAAAAUACCCAAUAAAUGGUGGCUACUACUAUGAAUCCAUUUAUUCUACAAAAUAACCGUGUAAGAUACGUUUUUGCUCCCAUUGGCCGUACUGUACCCCCAGACAGCUUCUUGGACUUUUAAUUAAAG